UACGUGGGGGGCAAGCGUUGUUCGGAAUUAUUGGGCGUAAAGGGUGCGUAGGCGGUUUUGUAAGUCUUGUGUGAAAUCUUCAGGCUCAACUUGAAGACUGCACGAGAAACUGCAGGGCUUGAGUGUGGGAGAGGUGAGUGGAAUUCCUGGUGUAGCGGUGAAAUGCGUAGAUAUCAGGAGGAACACCUGUGGCGAAAGCGGCUCACUGGACCACAACUGACGCUGAUGCACGAAAGCUAGGGGAGCAAACAGG
rnacentral:rRNA from 1 species